rnacentral:rRNA from 1 species
CUUCGGGGUACUCGAGUGGCGAACGGGUGAGUAACACGUGGGUGAUCUGCCCUGCACUUUGGGAUAAGCCUGGGAAACUUGGUCUAAUACCGAAUAGGACCACGCGCUUCAUGGUGUGUGGUGGAAAGCUUUUGCGGUGUGGGAUGGGCCCGCGGCCUAUCAGCUUGUUGGUGGGGUAAUGGCCUACCAAGGCGACGACGGGUAGCCGGCCUGAGAGGGUGACCGGCCACACUGGGACUGAGAUACGGCCCAGACUCCUACGGGAGGCAGCAGUGGGGAAUAUUGCACAAUGGGCGCAAGCCUGAUGCAGCGACGCCGCGUGAGGGAUGACGGCCUUCGGGUUGUAAACCUCUUUCAAUAGGGACGAAGCGCAAGUGACGGUACCUAUAGAAGAAGCACCGGCCAACUACGUGCCAGCAGCCGCGGUAAUACGUAGGGUGCGAGCGUUGUCCGGAAUUACUGGGCGUAAAGAGCUCGUAGGUGGUUUGUCGCGUUGUUCGUGAAAACUCACAGCUUAACUGUGGGCGUGCGGGCGAUACGGGCAGACUAGAGUACUGCAGGGGAGACUGGAAUUCCUGGUGUAGCGGUGGAAUGCGCAGAUAUCAGGAGGAACACCGGUGGCGAAGGCGGGUCUCUGGGCAGUAACUGACGCUGAGGAGCGAAAGCGUGGGGAGCGAACAGGAUUAGAUACCCUGGUAGUCCACGCNGUAAACGGUGGGUACUAGGUGUGGGUUCCUUCCUUGGGAUCCGUGCCGUAGCUAACGCAUUAAGUACCCCGCCUGGGGAGUACGGCCGCAAGGCUAAAACUCAAAGGAAUUGACGGGGGCCCGCACAAGCGGCGGAGCAUGUGGAUUAAUUCGAUGCAACGCGAAGAACCUUACCUGGGUUUGACAUGCACAGGACGCCGGCAGAGAUGUCGGUUCCCUUGUGGCCUGUGUGCAGGUGGUGCAUGGCUGUCGUCAGCUCGUGUCGUGAGAUGUUGGGUUAAGUCCCGCAACGAGCGCAACCCUUGUCCUAUGUUGCCAGCGGGUUAUGCCGGGGACUCGUAGGAGACUGCCGGGGUCAACUCGGAGGAAGGUGGGGAUGACGUCAAGUCAUCAUGCCCCUUAUGUCCAGGGCUUCACACAUGCUACAAAUGGCCGGUACAAAGGGCUGCGAUGCCGUGAGGUGGAGCGAAUCCUUUCAAAGCCGGUCUCAGUUCGGAUCGGGGUCUGCAACUCGACCCCGUGAAGUCGGAGUCGCUAGUAAUCGCAGAUCAGCAACGCUGCGGUGAAUACGUUCCCGGGCCUUGUACACACCGCCCGUCACGUCAUGAAAGUCGGUAACACCCGAAGCCGGU